rnacentral:rRNA from 1 species
ACCUAAGAGAUUAGGCGUUCCCUUCGGGGACGGAAUGACAGGUGGUGCAUGGUUGUCGUCAGCUCGUGUCGUGAGAUGUUGGGUUAAGUCCCGCAACGAGCGCAACCCUUAUUGUCAGUUGCCAGCAUUUAGUUGGGCACUCUGGCGAGACUGCCGGUGACAAACCGGAGGAAGGUGGGGAUGACGUCAAAUCAUCAUGCCCCUUAUGACCUGGGCUACACACGUGCUACAAUGGAUGGUACAACGAGUUGCGAGACCGCGAGGUCAAGCUAAUCUCUUAAAGCCAUUCUCAGUUCGGACUGUAGGCUGCAACUCGCCUACACGAAGUCGGAAUCGCUAGUAAUCGCGGAUCAGCACGCCGCGGUGAAUACGUUCCCGGGUCUUGUACACACCGA